rnacentral:rRNA from 1 species
UACGGAGGGUGCAAGCGUUAUCCGGAUUCACUGGGUUUAAAGGGUGCGUAGGCGGUCAGGUAAGUCAGUGGUGAAAUCUCAGAGCUUAACUCUGAAACUGCCGUUGAUACUAUCUGUCUUGAAUAUUGUGGAGGUAAGCGGAAUAUGUCAUGUAGCGGUGAAAUGCUUAGAUAUGACAUAGAACACCUAUUGCGAAGGCAGCUUACUACGCAAUCAUUGACGCUGAGGCACGAAAGCGUGAGGAUCAAACAGG